rnacentral:rRNA from 1 species
AUGUCGACGGCGCUGGCGCCGGGGAUGGCGCGGGGGCACGGGUUCCGGGGCGCGGGGAAGGGGAAGCAGCGGCCGGAUUCGGAGGAGCCGGAGACGAAUCGGGGCGGCGGCCCCAACGGGUUCUUCGUCGAGGAGGAGGAGGGGGAGGAGGUUGGGAGGGAGGAGCUGCGGGAACUGGAGGAGGCGCUAUCGGAUGCGUCCUCGAUCGGGGCGGCCUCCUCGGAUAGCUCCUCGAUCGGGGAAGACUCCACGUCGGAGAAGGAGGAUGGAGAGGAGGAGGAGGUGGAGAGCGAGGCCAAGGCGCCGGUGGAUGAAGUGCUCGCUAUGGGGCUCGGGACCCUCGAGUCUCUCGAGGAUGCGCUGCCCAGCAAGAGGGGCCUCUCGAAUUUCUACGCCGGCAAGUCCAAAUCCUUCACGAGCCUGGCCGAGGCUGCGGCCAAGGCGGCCGCCAAGGAGAUCGCCAAGCCGGAGAACCCCUUCAACAAGCGCCGCCGCGUGCUGGCGGCAUGGUCGCGGCGGAGGGCCUCCUGCAGCUCGCUGGUCACCACAUACCUGCCGCCACUCCUCUCCCUCGACCACACUGUGGUGGAGGGGGACGAGGAGGAGGAGGAGGAGGAAGAACGCUCGGACGACGGCGACGACGAGGGUAACGGCAGCGGCAAUGGCAGGAGGGAGAAGGCCCCGGCGUCGCCCAGGUUCCCUCCGCGCAGCCUGCACAGCGCGUCCCAGAAGGCAAGCGUCAUGAGUAGGAACAUGAUCAAUCCAAACACGAGCUCAUUCCGAUCUCCAAGGUCAUUCUCCCUAUCAGAUCUGCAAAACGCUGGAUACAACUAG